ensembl:lncRNA
GAUUUCUCUAAUUGGUGGACCACUCUUUGGGAUUAUGGGUAGUGUAGUUCUUUAUCUGGAAUUUGACCAUUAAACAAUAUUUUUUUGUAAAGUGAAGCUUAAAACGCUUGUGACUUCAGCAGAAGCAUAUAUAAUUGCUUUACAACACUGGAACUUGUGGGUCUGUCUUCAAAUAUUUAUAUGUUAUCAUUCAAAAGCUAUUUCUCUAUGAAGAAAAUUAAUUGUUUUUAGGAACCAGCACCAAGCUGUGUGUACCAAGCUGCACAGGACUGCGGGGCUCUCAGCGUGGCCUUAUAUAAAAUGUUUCCAGCUUCAUUCUGAAAUUAAAACAGGCAUAGCCGAAAGCAAGCGAGGCGCAGGAAAGUCAAGAGGAGAAGAGAGAAGAGGAGCCUGAGAAGCUGGAGAAUAUUUUCCAAUUCACCAGAUGUGAGUCAUUUCAUCAUGUGAUUCAAAUGAGGUUUGUGUUGUGUGAACAGAUGUCCCUACCCCACCUCCUUUAUCAACAUUAGCUGAUUAGGUUUUAGCAUGCAGCUCGCGCCAGUUCUGCCUCUCAGGUACAACCGCCCUCAUCUGGGCCUGUGCAGCUGUGUUGUGUGGGUGAGCGAAUGAGUGAGUGCGAGGCUGUCUCCAAGCAGAAACAAUAGAUAGACCCUUCACCAAGCCAUGCUGUGAACAUAUCAAGUAUGCAGCACAUCUGCAAAAUAACAUCUUCCUCUUACACAAACACAUAAACAUGCACACACAGUUUGAAUGUGGAUGUGUUUUUGGAAACUUUCACAAGAAAGCUCUGACAGAGCGUUUGAAGGAUAAAAGUGUGCAGGAUGGAUUUCAAAGGCAGACGGCAAUGGCAACUCAGGGCAGCAAGUAGAUGGGCAAGAGUGCACGUUUUUCUAUGCAGCCGUGGCAGAACAACACGAAACCCAUUCUCUGUGUGCACCUGUUCAGCCUGUGACAUCGGCUCCUCUCGCUGCACAAAAGCCACCUCUAGCCCUGAGGUCACACUGAGAAGAGAGGCACAUGAGAGCGGAGGGAAAGUGAUGGUGCAGUCCUUCUGAACGUCCCCUGACUCGAUUCACCACCUCCCCCUCCCCACCCCCCCUGCCUUCUUCUGGAGUUUAUCGGAUGCGCUCAGCUUUGGUGCUCAUUAAAAAGCACCCAUUAUCCCGACAUUUGCACGCAUCACAUGCAAAACUAAUUUACUUUUAAGAAAUUAAAAGUUCAUUUUAAUUGCGCUCGCGCUGCAGUAUGCAAAUGAAGAGUAUAUAAUGUACACUGAUGCAGAGAAAACAUGCCGGAGCUGGAUUUCUUUCCUGAGGCUAAAAGAACCACCAAAAUAAUUUUACACAGGUCUUUGUUUAUAUGUAUCUGUAUUCAAUACAUAUAUGUAUAAACUCAACAAAACCACUGAUGUCAUUCUUAAUGUGUUUUUCUAAGCAUUCAGAUAGAGAUUAUUGACACAAAAAAAAUGGGCGGUUAAUAAACAGCAAAAAAAAAAAAUAAUAAUCCCACUGCUUAUUUGGGGAUGAGAGUAGAAGACCAUUAAUACAGCAUAAACAAAAUAAUAAAACAACAAAUAAUGAAUCAUUCUACUUGUAGAUUCUCAAAUGUUUUCAGUCCCUGAUGAUGAUAACGUAUUGUAACAUAUUUUUUAAACAUACUCUUAAAAAAGGAACUGGCUAACACAGUACAUGUAUAAGUGAACAUAUAUUUGUUUAUUUGAAUGGGGUUGUAAAAGUAUUUUGUUCACCAAAUGGCCAAAUGCUUUUUAAAAUGCUUUGACAAUAUUGUUGACUAUUUCUGCUGAUAUUGUAUUAAUGUUGAUCAACAGAAGUUUUUUUUAAUGCAUGUAAUAUUCUUUAU